CCGUGCUAGGCGGGGAGGUAGCGGUGCCCUGUCACCCGCAAUCCGCUCUAGCGGGGCUGAAUUCCCGACUGAGGGGCUUCGGCCCUCGGGGCCAGUACGCCGGACAGAGGCGUCGAUGGCCGGGUCCCGCGCGGCGAGCGCUCGCGAAUCAGGUCAGAUCCGGGAGGAAGCAGCCUUAAGCGAUACCGCUCGUGCGCCGCGGAGACGCCUGGCCGGAGCCGAAGAUCGGCGGGCACGCCCGAGGACCAGCUUCGACGCCGGGUGCACGG
rnacentral:SRP_RNA from 1 species